UCAGACUGGGCCUUAACUUUCCUGACCUGAUCCCUAGCUUCCCGGACAGGUGCCAUAUUCCUGUGUUAGCCUGCAUGACACAGCAGAGUCUAUGCUGAUGCACAUCCCUAAUUCCCAGAAUGGAAUUUUUCCACUUUUGCUCUUGAUUCAACAUGGCACUCCUUACAAUGUGAAACUGAAACUUACCAUAUCUUUCUAGAUGAUCUUGAGGUCCUUUCCAACCCUAACUAUUCUAUGAUUCUCCUGUACAUAAACCAUAAACUUCUUCUCUUAAACAGAUUAAUCUCAUUAGAUACUGAGGUAUCUAAUUACAUGGUCUAACAGAUCUAUAUGACUUGACUGUAUAAAGAAAUAGAAAUAGUAUAAAACUAUGGAGAUGACCAAAAAUUUGCAUGUCUUGACACAACUUUUUCUCUGUUUCCACACUAAUAAAUCUUCUUUUAGGAAGCAAUAGAUCUAUUUUUCCCUGAGUCGAACUUAAUGGAAAUGAAGCCAAAGCAAGAAAUGUAAAGCAUUUUGCAAAUCCACUUCCUUCAGCAACAGAAGUCUAAAGGAUAGAGACUAAUGACAGAGCUUUGUCCCAGUUUGACAAAUACUUUUACUGACUGCAACAGCAAAAAAGAAAGCUCUUAGGAGGAUAUCAUCACUUGUCUGUUGAAAAGUGAUAAGGGACUGCUGAGGAAUGUAUUUUCACUCUGUGAAUUCCAAUCCGCUCAUCCCAGUAGCACCCAGUCAGCAGGUCCUUCUUCCACCUCUGCCACAUUUGGAUGUGCUGAUUUUUAAAAGAAAUCCAUCCUGUGCAUACUCCCACCCAUGGACUCCAGAUACUGUUGCAAGAGCUCAGCAAUUCAGCAAGUUACACAGAGCUGUCAGAAGAUGUAGCAUGUAUCAUCAGAAAGUUUGGUUUGAGUAA
rnacentral:lncRNA from 14 species